GAUGAACGCUAGCGGCAGGCUUAACACAUGCAAGUCGAGGGGUAUAGUUCUUCGGAGCUAGAGACCGGCGCACGGGUGCGUAGCGCGUAUGUAAUCUACCUUUUGCAGAGGGAUAGCCCAGAGAAAUUUGGAUUAAUACCUCAUAGUAUGUGAGAAUGGCAUCAUUUUCACAUUAAAGUCACAACGGCAAAAGAUGAGCAUGCGUCCCAUUAGCUUGUUGGUAAGGUAACGGCUUACCAAGGCAACGAUGGGUAGGGGUCCUGAGAGGGAGAGCCCCCACACUGGUAAUGAGACACGGACCAGACUCCUACGGGAGGCAGCAGUGAGGAAUAUUGGACAAUGGGCGCAAGCCUGAUCCAGCCAUGCCGCGUGCAGGAUGACGGUCCUAUGGAUUGUAAACUGCUUUUGUACAGGAAGAAACACUGGUUCGUGAACCAGCUUGACGGUACUGUAAGAAUAAGGAUCGGCUAACUCCGUGCCAGCCGCCGCAGUAAUAC
rnacentral:rRNA from 1 species